GUGUCAGCAGCCGCGGUAAGACGAACCGUGCGAACGUUAUUCGGAAUCAUUGGGCUUAAAGCGCGCGUAGGCGGCGGCGUAAGUGGGGGGUGAAAUCCUAUCGGCUCAACCGUGGAAUCGCCUCUCAAACUGCGUUGCUUGAGGGAGACAGGGGCACGCGGAACUUCCAGUGGAGCGGUGAAAUGUGUUGAGAUUGGAAGGAACGCCAGUGGCGAAAGCGGCGUGCUGGAUCUUUGCUGACGCUGAGGUGCGAAAGCUAGGGGAGCAAACGGGAUUAGAUACCCGCGUAGUCC
rnacentral:rRNA from 1 species